UAGCCGGCCUGAGAGGGUGACCGGCCACACUGGGACUGAGACACGGCCCAGACUCCUACGGGAGGCAGCAGUGGGGAAUAUUGCACAAUGGGCGAAAGCCUGAUGCAGCGACGCCGCGUGAGGGAUGACGGCCUUCGGGUUGUAAACCUCUUUCAGUAGGGAAGAAGCGAAAGUGACGGUACCUGCAGAAGAAGCACCGGCUAACUACGUGCCAGCAGCCGCGGUAAUACGUAGGGUGCGAGCGUUAUCCGGAAUUAUUGGGCGUAAAGAGCUCGUAGGCGGUUUGUCGCGUCUGUCGUGAAAGUCCGGGGCUUAACCCCGGAUCUGCGGUGGGUACGGGCAGACUAGAGUGCAGUAGGGGAGACUGGAAUUCCUGGUGUAGCGGUGGAAUGCGCAGAUAUCAGGAGGAACACCGAUGGCGAAGGCAGGUCUCUGGGCUGUAACUGACGCUGAGGAGCGAAAGCAUGGGGAGCGAACAGGAUUAGAUACCCUGGUAGUCCAUGCCGUAAACGUUGGGCACUAGGUGUGGGGACCAUUCCACGGUUUCCGCGCCGCAGCUAACGCAUUAAGUGCCCCGCCUGGGGGAA
rnacentral:rRNA from 1 species